rnacentral:lncRNA from 10 species
CUUGGUUUGCUUAUUUACAAAAUGACAAUAAAUACUUGUUCCACUUACAUCUCAGGAUCAUUAGGAGAUUCAAGAAAAAUAUCUACAUUGUUACAGAUUUAAUAUCUGUAUUUACAUGAAAAGACCUGAAAAGCACUUUGCAGAGAAAAAGACCACACGGAUCAGAAAGUUUGUAGGGGAAACUGUUUCUCUUUGUUUGUUUAAUGUGUAGCAAGCAUUAUUAAGUCAGAUUUGUGAAAAAUCAUGUUUGGAAGCUGAAAUAACAACCUCAAAUCUCUGAAAAGACUGAAAAGACAUUGCUUCUCCCUCCCUCAUGUCCUUCUCCGGUGCAAGCCACUCAAAAAAGAUUUAAUGUUUUAGAGAAAUAAACAUUUUGAUAAGGCUCUAGCAGACACUGUUGGUGUCUCAAAUGAAUUCCUGGAAAUCCCUUUUAUCUUCAGCUAUGGACACCCUUUUUCAACCUCUCCUGGAGGACUGCCUUGGGCUGUGGAACUGCUGCACUCAUGAGACCAGAAGAUGACUGACUGGUGCUGGAGCACAAAAGCCCUUGCCUCCUGGCAGACAGACUGUAACUUUGGCACCAGGAACUGGUUUUGUGGAAGACAAUGUUUUUUUUCAUGUGGGGCGGGGGUGGGGUGGGGAGCGCAUGAUCGCUCAUGCGCAGUUCACAAAUGGGCAGUUCACAGUAGGGUUCACGCUGCUAUGAGAAUCAAAUGUCCCGCUGAUCCGACAGGAGGUGAAGCUCAGGCGGUAAUGGCUGGCCUGUUGCUCACCUCCUGCUGUGCGGCCAGGCUCGCCACAGACCUAUAGGAUCUGCCGCCCGGGGCUGGGGACGCCUGCUCUAGAGCACUAGCCUGCAAACUUUUUAUUUAAUGGCUGCAGCUCCAGCAUCCAUCUUGGAUUAUGAGGUAAUCUUGAGAAUGGAAGCCAAGCCCUUGG